UUUCAGUGGCGAACGGGUGAGUAACGCGUAAACAAUCUGCCCUAUAGACGGGGACAACAGAUCGAAAGAUCUGCUAAUACCGGAUAAGACCAUUAGAACGCAUGUUCUGAUGAGGAAAGAUGGCCUCUAUUAAUAAGCUAUCGCUAAAGGAUGAGUUUGCGUCUGAUUAGCUAGUUGGCGGGGUAAAAGCCCACCAAGGCGACGAUCAGUAGCCGGUCUGAGAGGAUGAACGGCCACACUGGGACUGAGACACGGCCCAGACUCCUACGGGAGGCAGCAGCGGGGAAUCUUCCGCAAUGGACGAAAGUCUGACGGAGCAACGCCGCGUGAGUGAAGAAGGUUUUCGGAUCGUAAAACUCUGUCGUUAGGGACGAAUGUUACUGCUGUAAAUAAUGGUAGUAAAUGACGGUACCUGACAAGAAAGCCACGGCUAACUACGUGCCAGCAGCCGCGGUAAUACGUAGGUGGCAAGCGUUGUCCGGAAUUAUUGGGCGUAAAGGGAGCGCAGGUGGGAAAUUAAGUCUUAUUUAAAAGUGCGGGGCUCAACCCCGUGAGGGAUAAGAAACUAAUUUUCUUGAGUGCAGGAGAGGAAAGUGGAAUUCCUAGUGUAGCGGUGAAAUGCGUAGAUAUUAGGAGGAACACCAGUGGCGAAGGCGACUUUCUGGACUGUAACUGACACUGAGGCUCGAAAGCUAGGGGAGCGAACGGGAUUAGAUACCCCGGUAGUCCUAGCCGUAAAUGAUGGGUACUAGGUGUAGGAGGUAUCGACCCCUUCUGUGCCGGAAGUAACGCAAUAAGUACCCCGCCUGGGGAGUACGGCCGC
rnacentral:rRNA from 1 species